rnacentral:rRNA from 1 species
AGAGUUUGAUCCUGGCUCAGGAUGAACGCUAGCUACAGGCUUAACACAUGCAAGUCGAGGGGAAACGACAUCGAAAGCUUGCUUUUGAUGGGCGUCGACCGGCGCACGGGUGAGUAACGCGUAUCCAACCUGCCCACCACUUGGGGAUAACCUUGCGAAAGUAAGACUAAUACCCAAUGACGUCUCUAGAAGACAUCUGAAGGAGAUUAAAGAUUUAUCGGUGAUGGAUGGGGAUGCGUCUGAUUAGCUUGUUGGCGGGGUAACGCCACAAGGCGACGAUCAGUAGGGGUUCUGAGAGGAAGGUCCCCCANAUUGGAACUGAGACACGGUCAAACUCUACGGAGCA